GAUGAAGAACGUAGCGAAAUGCGAUAAGUAAUGUGAAUUGCAGAAUUCAGUGAAUCAUCGAAUCUUUGAACGCAUCUUGCGCUCCUUGGUAUUCUGAGGAGCAUGCCUGUUUGAGUGUCAUUAAAUUCUCAACUACACUGACUUUGAAUUGGUGUGGCUUGGAUUUUGGGGGAAAAUUGUUGUGGGCUUUUUGUAUAGUCUGCUCCCCUGAAAUUGAUUAGCGGUACCUUUGUGGAACUGUCUACAGGUGUGAUAAUUAUCUACAUCUUAGACAUCUGCUGGAAUGCUGCUUUCUAAACCUUACUUGUAUUGACAAUCUUGACCUCAAAUCAGGUAGGACUACCCGCUGAACUUAAGCAUAUCAAUAAGCGGAGGA
rnacentral:misc_RNA from 1 species